GGGGAUAGCUCAAUUGGUAGAGUGCGUGUUCAGCAGGCACAAAAUCCUGGGUUCAAUCCCCAAUAUCUCCA
rnacentral:tRNA from 1 species